UACCUGCAGCCCAAGUGGUGCUCGUUAUUAUUGGGUCUAAAACGUCCGUAGUCGGCUGAGUAGAUGCCCGGGUAAAUCGCAGCGCUUAACGUUGCGAAUUCCGGGUAGACCGCUCGGCUAGGGAGUGGGAGAGGUGCGAGGUACUCUGAGGGUAGGGGUAAAAUCCUGUAAUCCUUGGGGGACCACCAGUGGCGAAGGCGUCGCACUAGAACACGUCCGACGAUCAGGGACGAAGCCCUGGGGCGCAAACGGG
rnacentral:rRNA from 1 species